GCGGCAAUAGCUCAGUGGUAGAGCCCCGCUUCCCAUGCGGGGAGACCUGGGUUCGUUUCCCGGCCGCU
rnacentral:tRNA from 1 species